rnacentral:rRNA from 1 species
AAAUUGAAGAGUUUGAUCAUGGCUCAGAUUGAACGCUGGCGGCAGGCCUAACACAUGCAAGUCGAACGGUAACAGGAAGCAGCUUGCUGCUUCGCUGACGAGUGGCGGACGGGUGAGUAAUGUCUGGGAAACUGCCUGAUGGAGGGGGAUAACUACUGGAAACGGUGGCUAAUACCGCAUAACGUCGCAAGACCAAAGAGGGGGACCUUCGGGCCUCUUGCCAUCAGAUGUGCCCAGAUGGGAUUAGCUUGUUGGUGAGGUAACGGCUCACCAAGGCGACGAUCCCUAGCUGGUCUGAGAGGAUGACCAGCCACACUGGAACUGAGACACGGUCCAGACUCCUACGGGAGGCAGCAGUGGGGAAUAUUGCACAAUGGGCGCAAGCCUGAUGCAGCCAUGCCGCGUGUAUGAAGAAGGCCUUCGGGUUGUAAAGUACUUUCAGCGGGGAGGAAGGUGUUGUGGUUAAUAACCGCAGCAAUUGACGUUACCCGCAGAAGAAGCACCGGCUAACUCCGUGCCAGCAGCCGCGGUAAUACGGAGGGUGCAAGCGUUAAUCGGAAUUACUGGGCGUAAAGCGCACGCAGGCGGUCUGUCAAGUCGGAUGUGAAAUCCCCGGGCUCAACCUGGGAACUGCAUUCGAAACUGGCAGGCUUGAGUCUUGUAGAGGGGGGUAGAAUUCCAGGUGUAGCGGUGAAAUGCGUAGAGAUCUGGAGGAAUACCGGUGGCGAAGGCGGCCCCCUGGACAAAGACUGACGCUCAGGUGCGAAAGCGUGGGGAGCAAACAGGAUUAGAUACCCUGGUAGUCCACGCCGUAAACGAUGUCUACUUGGAGGUUGUGCCCUUGAGGCGUGGCUUCCGGAGCUAACGCGUUAAGUAGACCGCCUGGGGAGUACGGCCGCAAGGUUAAAACUCAAAUGAAUUGACGGGGGCCCGCACAAGCGGUGGAGCAUGUGGUUUAAUUCGAUGCAACGCGAAGAACCUUACCUGGUCUUGACAUCCACAGAAGAAUCCAGAGAUGGAUUUGUGCCUUCGGGAACUGUGAGACAGGUGCUGCAUGGCUGUCGUCAGCUCGUGUUGUGAAAUGUUGGGUUAAGUCCCGCAACGAGCGCAACCCUUAUCCUUUGUUGCCAGCGGUUAGGCCGGGAACUCAAAGGAGACUGCCAGUGAUAAACUGGAGGAAGGUGGGGAUGACGUCAAGUCAUCAUGGCCCUUACGACCAGGGCUACACACGUGCUACAAUGGCGCAUACAAAGAGAAGCGACCUCGCGAGAGCAAGCGGACCUCAUAAAGUGCGUCGUAGUCCGGAUUGGAGUCUGCAACUCGACUCCAUGAAGUCGGAAUCGCUAGUAAUCGUGGAUCAGAAUGCCACGGUGAAUACGUUCCCGGGCCUUGUACACACCGCCCGUCACACCAUGGGAGUGGGUUGCAAAAGAAGUAGGUAGCUUAACCUUCGGGAGGGCGCUUACCACUUUGUGAUUCAUGACUGGGGUGAAGUCGUAACAAGGUAACCGUAGGGGAACCUGCGGUUGGAUCACCUCCUUACCU